AGCGGACGCUGGCGGCAGGCCUAACACAUGCAAGUCGAACGAACUCUUCGGAGUUAGUGGCGGACGGGUGAGUAACACGUGGGAACGUGCCUUUAGGUUCGGAAUAACUCAGGGAAACUUGUGCUAAUACCGAAUGUGCCCUUCGGGGGAAAGAUUUAUCGCCUUUAGAGCGGCCCGCGUCUGAUUAGCUAGUUGGUGAGGUAAAGGCUCACCAAGGCGACGAUCAGUAGCUGGUCUGAGAGGAUGAUCAGCCACAUUGGGACUGAGACACGGCCCAAACUCCUACGGGAGGCAGCAGUGGGGAAUCUUGCGCAAUGGGCGAAAGCCUGACGCAGCCAUGCCGCGUGAAUGAUGAAGGUCUUAGGAUUGUAAAAUUCUUUCACCGGGGACGAUAAUGACGGUACCCGGAGAAGAAGCCCCGGCUAACUUCGUG
rnacentral:rRNA from 1 species